rnacentral:rRNA from 1 species
CCACGCCGUAAAUCGACCGCCUGGGGAGUACGGCCGCAAGGUUAAAACUCAAAUGAAUUGACGGGGGCCCGCACAAGCGGUGGAGCAUGUGGUUUAAUUCGAUGCAACGCGAAGAACCUUACCUACUCUUGACAUCCAAAGAAGAACUCAGAGAUGAGUUUGUGCCUUCGGGAGCUUUGAGACAGGUGCUGCAUGGCUGU